UGGUCGGCGCUCGCCCCUUGGGUGCGCGGGGCAGGCUGAGCCCGGACCCGCACCCAACGUUUGGGGGCCGGAGCAAUACGUGGACGCCACGUCGGCCUUGUCACUGACCCCACCGGAACCCAGCCUGAGAGAAGCGCGAGUUGUGGGUGCCACAUCUCGGGGCUACGGGGGUGACCGGGUAGAGAGGUGGAGCCAGCAGGGAAAAUGUCUUUGAGGAGGUGAUGGUGAAAUUGAAGUCAAGAAAAUGAGGAGAUAGCUUUGGGAAAAGCCAAGCAGAGACAUUCCAAGUCAAGAACAGUUUGUGCCGAGGCCCUGAGAAAGGGAUAGAGUCACCAAAGUUUGGCAACAUAUAAAGCCAUCCAUGAGAAAGACUACACUUCCCAACCACUCUUGCAUGCCUAGCACAUGGCUGGAUAUGCAGAACGUACUAGGUAGCAGGAGGAAAGAUUCCAGGUGAAGGUGGACAAUGGGGAGACUGCAGCUGAGCUGGGAUGCAGUGGGGAACCAACGAGGUACCGGCGGAAAGUGCCCUGAAUGUAUAGUACGAUAGUGCACCAUGUAAUGUAGGCAGAUUCUCAGCCAGCCCAACCACACAAGCAGGGGAGAGCUCUGCAAGGCUGAAAGGAAAUGCCUCAGGAUGAGAGAGAACAACCAGGGGAAGGAGGAUGGCAACUCGGACAGGACCAAGGCCAUGACCUGAAAAGCAAAGUUUUCUCAAGAGCUGGAGUACUGUCGUUCCCAGUUCUCCCCCAAGCCAAGCCGUGAACCUCAGAACCUGGGUCUUCUAUCACUGACUGUAUGACCAUGGAUAGGUCAACAAACCACUCUUAUCCUCAGUUUACCUAUGUGUAAAGUGACAAGGCUGGACCCUGCCUUCCCUUGACAAGCUUCCUCACUUACUGAACAGACGCGAUGGCCUCCCUUUGAGGGGCCAACCUGGAGACCUCCCAGUCAGUGAGCCCCAAAUUGCACCAAACUCAUGCCCACUGCACCCACACUAUCGGCAUGACCCAAAUCCCCUGGGCUUCAGACCCAACGCCGAGAGCACGGAGAGGCAGCAGAGUCACCACGUGCGGCUCUCAGCCGUCCAGCAGGGACACCGGGGGCUCCCCAGGAAGAGGCACACAGGCAGGUCCAUUCUAAAGGUGCGGCGCUGUGCUUCCCCGGGUGCUGUAGCUGCACCACCGGUGAGGCUGCCCAUGCCUGUACCAGUAACGAUCCAGGCCCCUCAGUUCAGUAAGCAAACCCCUGUGCUGAGAACCAGGAACAUGCAAUUGGACCUGGUCCAGGACACAGAUACUACAAGAGUGAAAGGCCUUGGAAUGCCAAAGGAAAGUCAAAUAUGUUGCUAAUCCUAGGAUAUGGUGAGCUGUUAAAUGAACAGAAACAGAGAAUUAGGCAAAAAAACAAAACAAACCUAGAGUAAAUAACAUAAUGGGCCACUGUUGGUCCUGGCUGGAAAUGCCCCGGUCCCCACUUGCUAGGAUCCCUUCCUCCGAACAGAUCCUCAAAUGCACUCACCUCUCGACAGAGGAAACAGCCUGGCCUCCGCACAGCCAUAAUCACAGCUCCAUUAUUCUCCCAGAGCGUCUUUGCUUUAAAAGUCAUUGGUUCUGAGGAGAAGAAAAGGGAAUUCAGUAUCACUUCCUCUCAGCCGGGCCCCAACCUCUAAGCUCCUCAUAAACAGCACCAGGCCAAACAGAGGACGUGCAAAAGUAUUUCACAUGUGGGAAAAAGCAAACAGGAAACACGGAUAGGGAAUAUUCAUCUUUCCAAGGAAAAUGAAUCCAGUGUAAGGGUCCUACUAUAUCACCAGAAGGCCCCUCCCCCAUAAAAAUCUAGUUGCAAACUUGAACAUCCCAAACUGGAACAUUUCUGGAAAAAUAGCAUAUUCCUUUGCUGGUCUCAAUGGACCUUGUAACAAUCCUUUAGGGCAGAUACAUGGCCAAAACCUGAACGAAAUCUUGCACUUUGGCCAAGAAAACCCCAACUCUUAAAAAAGUAUUCGAAGAAAUUAGGUCAAAAGAAAUUAAAAACAAAAAAAAAAUUUAACCUAAAUAUGUUAACUGCAACGUUAUCCAUAGGAGAGGGCAGAAGAUGUCCAACAAGGAAAUUCUUUGGGUAGCAGAGUAGUGUAGCUCAAGCCCGGCUCCAGUCACACUGAGUCCGCACCCAGGUGUGACCCGGGGCAGGCUAUAUCUCCUCCCUGAACCUCCAUUUCCCCGUUUGUAAAUGCAGAUGCCUAGCAGCUCCACUUUAGGCCACAGGGAGUAUUAAAAGAUGGAUAUAAAAGUGCUCUCCAGGUAAUACAGAGUUAGUGAGGGCUCAAUAAGUACUAUCCCUUAUUAUUUUAGCAUUUCUCAGAGGAAUCCAUGUCCCUGUGGGAUGUUAUAUAGGAAAAAAAGAAGGUGGGAGGGGGUUGAAAUCAAAUGACACUGGGAAACUCUGGGUCGAACACAGCUAAAUAGGACUCCCUGUGCAGGGCUUCUUAGUCCCUUACUGAGGUGACCUACAUCAUAAAUCUGCAGUCACAUUUCCUGCCUUCCCUUGACAAGCUUCCUCACUUACUGAACAGACGCGAUGGCCUCCCUUUGAGGGGCCAACCUGGAGACCUCCCAGUCAGUGAGCCCCAAAUUGCACCAAACUCAUGCCCACUGCACCCACACUAUCGGCAUGACCCAAAUCCCCUGGGCUUCAGAUCCAACGCCGAGAGCACGGAGAGGCAGCAGAGUCACCACGUGCGGCUCUCAGCCAUCCAGCAGGGACACCAGGGGGCUCCCCAGGAAAAGGCACACAGGCAGGUCCAUUCUAAAGGUGCGGCGCUGUGCUUCCCCGGGUGCUGUAGCUGCACCACAGGCGAGGCUGCCCAUGCCUGUACCAGUAACGAUCCAGGCCCCUCAUUUCAGUAAGCAAACCCCUGUGCUGAGAACCAGGAACAUGCAAUUGGACAUAGGGUUUCUCAAAUUUAUUGGACUCAGGAGCUCCUGUUUGUGAAGAUCCAGGAGCCUGGAAUUCCUCAUAACACACUCUGGAAGGGUUGGUUGAGUAAACAGUGGUACAAUAUUACUAAAUAUUACGAACGAUUAUCAUUAUAUUUAGAGAGACAACAUGACAAAAUGAAAAAUGCUUUUGGUAAGAAAAAACUAAUACUCAGCCAUAAAAAGAAACGAAACUGAGUUAUUUGUAGUGAGGUAGAUGGACCCACAGUCUGUCAUACAGAGUGAAGCAAGUCAGAAAGAGAAAAACAAAUACCGCGUGCUAACACAUAUAUAUGGAAUCUAAAAAAAAAAAAAGGUUCUGAAAAACCUAGCAGCAGGACAGGAAUAAAGAUGCAGACGUAGAGAAUGGUUAAGGACACGGGGAGGGGUAAGGGUAAGCUGGGACAAAGUGAGAGAGUGGCAUGGACAUAUAUACACUACCAAACGUAAAACAGAUAGCUAGUGGGAAGCAGCCACAUAGCACAGGGAGAUCAGCUCGGUGCUUUGUGACCAC